GAUGAACGCUGGCGGCGUGCCUAAUACAUGCAAGUCGAGCGAACAGACGAGGAGCUUGCUCCUCUGACGUUAGCGGCGGACGGGUGAGUAACACGUGGAUAACCUACCUAUAAGACUGGGAUAACUUCGGGAAACCGGAGCUAAUACCGGAUAAUAUAUUGAACCGCAUGGUUCAAUAGUGAAAGACGGUUUUGCUGUCACUUAUAGAUGGAUCCGCGCCGCAUUAGCUAGUUGGUAAGGUAACGGCUUACCAAGGCAACGAUGCGUAGCCGACCUGAGAGGGUGAUCGGCCACACUGGAACUUAGACACGGUCCAGACUCCUACGGGAGGAAGCAGUAGGGAAUCUUCCGCAAUGGGCGAAAGCCUGACGGAGCAACGCCGCGUGAGUGAUGAAGGUCUUCGGAUCGUAAAACUCUGUUAAUAGGGAAGAACAAUUGUGUAAGUAACUAUGCACUUCUUGAUGGUACCUAAUCAGAAAGCCACGGCUAACUACGUG
rnacentral:rRNA from 1 species